UACGUAGGGACCGAGCGUUGUCCGGAAUCAUUGGGCGUAAAGAGCGUGUAGGCGGCCUUUUAAGUCCUGCGUGAAAUCCUGCGGCUCAACCGCAGACGGUCGUGGGAAACUGGAAGGCUAGAGUGCGGGAGAGGAGAGUGGAAUUCCCGGUGUAGCGGUGAAAUGCGCAGAUGUCGGGAAGAACACCCGUGGCGAAGGCGGCUCUCUGGAACGCAACUGACGCUGAGACGCGAAAGCGUGGGGAGCAAACAGG
rnacentral:rRNA from 1 species